GACGAACGCUGGCGGCGUGCUUAACACAUGCAAGUCGAACGGAAAGGCCCUGCUUUUGUGGGGUGCUCGAGUGGCGAACGGGUGAGUAACACGUGAGUAACCUGCCCUUGACUUUGGGAUAACUUCAGGAAACUGGGGCUAAUACCGGAUAGGAGCUCCUGCUGCAUGGUGGGGGUUGGAAAGUUUCGGCGGUUGGGGAUGGACUCGCGGCUUAUCAGCUUGUUGGUGGGGUAGUGGCUUACCAAGGCUUUGACGGGUAGCCGGCCUGAGAGGGUGACCGGCCACAUUGGGACUGAGAUAGGGCCCAGACGCCUACGGGAGGCAUCAGUGGGGAAUAUUGCACAAUGGGCGGAAGCCUGAUGGAGCAACGCCGCGUGCGGGAUGACGGCCUUCGGGGUGUAAACCGCUUGCGCCUGUGACGAAGCGUGAGUGACGGUAAUGGGUAAAGAAGCACCGGCUAACUACGUG
rnacentral:rRNA from 1 species